rnacentral:rRNA from 1 species
GUCCACGCCGUAAACGAUGGAUACUAGCUGUUGGGAGCAAUCUCAGUGGCUAAGCGAAAGUGAUAAGUAUCCCACCUGGGGAGUACGUUCGCAAGAAUGAAACUCAAAGGAAUUGACGGGGGCCCGCACAAGCGGUGGAGCAUGUGGUUUAAUUCGAUGAUACGCGAGGAACCUUACCAAGGCUUAAAUGUAGUUUGACCGUUUUGGAAACAGAACUUUCGCAAGACAAAUUACAAGGUGCUGCAUGGUUGUCGU